rnacentral:rRNA from 1 species
UAGGGAAUCUUCGGCAAUGGGGGGAACCCUGACCGAGCAACGCCGCGUGAGUGAAGAAGGUUUUCGGAUCGUAAAGCUCUGUUGUUAAGGAAGAACGAGUGUGAGAAUGGAAAGUUCAUGCUGUGACGGUACUUAACCAGAAAGGGACGGCUAACUACGUGCCAGCAGCCGCGGUAAUACGUAGGUCCCGAGCGUUGUCCGGAUUUAUUGGGCGUAAAGCGAGCGCAGGCGGUUAGAAAAGUCUGAAGUGAAAGGCAGUGGCUCAACCAUUGUAGGCUUUGGAAACUGUUUAAUUGGAGUGCAGAAGGGGGGAGUGGAAUUCCAUGUGUAGCGGUGAAAUGCGUAGAGAGAUGGAGGAACACCAGUGGAGAAGGCGACUCUCUGGUCUGUAACUGACGCUGAGGCUCGAAAGCGUGGGUAGCAAACAGG